rnacentral:rRNA from 1 species
CGCCUCUUGGCCAUAUAAGAGGUCCAGCCUGCCCAGUGACUCUGUUCAACGGCCGCGGUAUUCUAACCGUGCGAAGGUAGCGUAAUCACUUGUUUUCUAAAUAAAGACCAGUAUGAAAGGCACCACGAGGAUCAAGCUGUCUCCUUUUUCCAAUCAGUGAACCUAAUCUCCCCGUGAAGAAGCGGGGAUUAAAAUAUAAGACGAGAAGACCCUGUGGAGCUUAAAACAUUAUAACACCUGCCCCACCCCCACUUAAAUUACCCAGGUACUUCACCCACCUGCACCCCUGAUUAUAUGUUUUUGGUUGGGGUGACCGUGGAGAAAAACUCAUCCUCCAUAACGAAAGGGAUUUCCCCUAAGCAAUAAGUUACAACUUUAUGCAUCAAAAACCUGACAAAUCGACCCAAUAAUUGAUCAAUGAACCAAGUUACCCCAGGGAUAACAGCACAAUCCACUUCAAGAGCUCCUAUCGACAAGUGGGCUUAUGACCUCGAUGUUGGAUCGGGGUAUCCUAGUGGUGCAGCCGCUACUAAAGGUUCGUUUGUUCAACGAUUAAAACCCC